rnacentral:rRNA from 1 species
GUGCCAGCCGCCGCGGUAACACCGGCAGCUCGAGUGGUGACCGCUUUUAUUGGGCCUAAAGCGUUCGUAGCCGGUCCAGUAAGUCUUUGGGCAAAUCUUCUCGCUCAACGAAAAGAAUUCCGAAAAUACUGCUGGACUUGGGGCCGAGAGAGGUUAGAGGUACUCCUGGGGUAGGGGUGAAAUCCUAUAAUCCUGGGGGGACCGCCAGUGGCGAAGGCGUCUAACCAGAGCGGACCCGACGGUGAGGGACGAAAGCCAGGGGCGCGAACGGGAUUAGAUACCCCGGUAGUCC